GGCACUUACACAUCGGUUCGUGUUUGGCCGAGCUUCUCCUCCGAUUUGUGGCGUGCGCCUUGAUGAAGUCACGCAAAGGGGAGAGACCUACAG